rnacentral:rRNA from 1 species
UACGUAGGGUGCGAGCGUUAAUCGGAAUUACUGGGCGUAAAGCGUGCGCAGGCGGUCUGUUAAGACCGAUGUGAAAUCCCCGGCUUAACCUGGGAACUGCAUUGGUGACUGGCAGGCUUUGAGUGUGGCAGAGGGAGGUAGAAUUCCACGUGUAGCAGUGAAAUGCGUAGAGAUGUGGAGGAAUACCGAUGGCGAAGGCAGCCUCCUGGGCCAACACUGACGCUCAUGCACGAAAGCGUGGGGAGCGAACAGGA